UUUUAUAAUUUCCAACUUGGUCCUGCGCGGUAAUUAGAGAUUCGAAUUGCGCGCAUCAUACGUUUAUCUUCUGUCUAAUUAAAGCUCCACUGUCAUUCUUUUUGACCAUCAUCUUAAUCUUAAUUUCAUUCAUUAAAUAUGUCCUUGUCUUGUAGAUUCAUCAUCAGUUGCAAAAUCAAUACAUCUUCUCUGCAUUGUGAUUGCCGUUUGGUUGUUUGCUGCUAACCAAUGAUCCAUAUAUAUAUAUAUAUAUGACCUUUAUACAACAUAUUAUAUUAUCCAGUUCGCUCAAUUCUCAUCCUUAUUUGUUUCUUCAUUUUGAUUUUAAUGGUCAAUGUCGAUAAUGAUUUGUUUUCCUUAUACUGUAUGAAGCUAAAACUUGCAGUAGAUUGGCCUGUAAGUUCGUAUCCUAUCACCAAUUUGUAGGCCUGCCUCGUUCUCUCACUCAAGGCCGAGAUCACCCUACAGGGGAAGAGGUAUAGCUGGAAGACUUAGAAGGUCAUCUUACUGCUCUAGUUCUCCAAGCCCCGUAACCGUAAGGGAAAGCGGUCCCGCUGGAAGACGUACAAAGCCUCUUCCUACUCUAGUUCUCCAAGCCUUUUCAGCUAAAGAAAUAAAGAUAUACCUUGCUUAGUUAUGUAUUGACGUUCUACAUUGUGUGAACGUAUAGGCUCCUAAGAGGAUUUAGGAAGAGGCACCCUGUCAAGUAAAUUGUAGGACGCUUAGUUUAGCCCAUUCCUCUGUAGGAACACUUAGCUUAUCUCUUUCCUCUGCUAUGCUUCUUUGUUAUUUCUAAAACCAUUUGGUUGAGACCUUCACAUUACACUGUAUCUUUUGACUAGAUAUCUUUAUGCAAUUGGUGUCAA